UGUUUGAUUGGUUAGUUCGGAACUGGGAGGAAGCUCAAUCAGUUCGCUCAACAUCAUAAUUAAAGCCCUUGCAGAGUAUAUUCACAUAUCCACCCUAAAUUGGAUUUCUUUGUUGUUUGAGUGUAAAUGUUGGUUGGGUUUUGGUAAUCUUGAUAUUGAACUGGUUGGUUGUGUGUGCAAUGUGCAAUAUGCAGUGAAGUGAGCCUGCGCAAUCAAAGACUGCAUUUGGUUUACAAUGGAGUUGAGGUAGAAGCUUUAAAAAUGGCCCAGAGUCUUCACUUUACAGAAGAGGUUCGAUCUACAAAAUGUCAUCUAGGUGAUUUUAAGGUUAAGAUAGAGUUUGACGACCUGAAGAAUAAGGCCCUUCAUACGUGCAGUUGCUUGAGUUCCCUUGUUAGUCAAAUUGAGAGGAUCAACUUGCAAAAGAACAGAGCAAAGCAG